CCCAGCUUAUGUGACCAACGAGAGACACAUCAAAGACGCAAAAAACAACACACAAUCGAUCAAAUAUAUUUAUUUCUACAAUGUCAAUGAACGAAUGAUAUAAAUCGAUAAACGAUGAUGAUGGUUCUAAAUAAACAAUAAAGGUUCAUCACAAUCUAUACUUAUCCCAAGCAAAAAAGUCAUAAAUCAAAUGUUUUACCUCGUAUUUAGGCCACUUCCACGUACAAAAAAAACCUACAAACUAUAUAUUGUAUAUGACCAAGCACAUGGAAUAAACAACUGCCCCUAACACAUCCGGGCACUUACAUAAAUUAUCAUAAAUUACCGUCUCGAUCCUAUAUACCAGCCCCGAACGACCUACUAUACUGUCGUUCAAAAAUUAUCAAAAAGGAUCGAGAUCCACAGUUCUAUCGAUUACCAAUAUUCACUUGCGCAAGUAUAAAGUUUUCUCUUAUUUCAACUUCUGUCGUACUUCUCACGACUUCCAAAACAACGUCAUCACCAAGCUUGUCGGAUAAAGUAAGAUUGAACAAAUAAAGUUAACAUCAACAACAUAUAUAAACUGUUUGUAAUAGAGUUUCUUUAGUCCCGUUUACUCCGAGUCGGAUUUCUCCAGGAGACACAAUUUCCUAACAUCACGUCGAUAUUGAGUCUGACUGGCUGCACGAAUCAACACUUGUCUAACAUGUCCAUUCUUAUCUGGAUACGAUUCUUCAAC